rnacentral:rRNA from 1 species
CACGUAGGAGGCAAACGUUGUCCGGAUUUAUUGGGCGUAAAGCGCGUGUAGGUGGUUCUGUAAGUAGGGCGUGAAAGCUCCCGGCUCAACUGGGAGAGGCCGUUCUAAACUGCAGAGCUAGAGGAUGGUAGAGGGAGGUGGAAUUCCUGGUGUAGCGGUGAAAUGCGUAGAUAUCAGGAGGAACACCGGCGGCGAAGGCGGCUUGCUGGACGGCAACUGACGUUGAGGCUCGAAAGCGUGGGGAGCAAACAGGAUUAGAUACCCCCGUAGUCCCUGA